UACGUAGGGGGCAAGCGUUGGCCGGAUUUAUUGGGCGUAAAGGGCGCGCAGGUGGUUAAGUGCGUCGGGCGUGAAAGACCCCGGCUCAACUGGGGAGGGUCGUGCGAAACGGGUGAACUAGAGGCCAGUAGGGGGAUGCGGAAUUCCGGGUGUAGUGGUGGAAUGCGUAGAGAUCCGGAGGAACACCAGCGGCGAAGGCGGCAUCCUGGACUGGUCCUGACACUCAGGAGCGAAAGCGUGGGGAGCGAUCCGG
rnacentral:rRNA from 1 species